rnacentral:rRNA from 1 species
AUUGAACGCUGGCGGCAGGCCUAACACAUGCAAGUCGAGCGGUAACACAGGGAGCUUGCUCCUGGGUGACGAGCGGCGGACGGGUGAGUAAUGUCUGGGAAGCUGCCUGAUGGAGGGGGAUAACUACUGGAAACGGUAGCUAAUACCGCAUAAUGUCGCAAGACCAAAGAGGGGGACCUUCGGGCCUCUUGCCAUUAGAUGUGCCCAGAUGGGAUUAGCUAGUAGGUGGGGUAACGGCUCACCUAGGCGACGAUCCCUAGCUGGUCUGAGAGGAUGACCAGCCACACUGGAACUGAGACACGGUCCAGACUCCUACGGGAGGCAGCAGUGGGGAAUAUUGCACAAUGGGCGCAAGCCUGAUGCAGCCAUGCCGCGUGUAUGAAGAAGGCCUUCGGGUUGUAAAGUACUUUCAGCGGGGAGGAAGGUGUUGAGGUUAUUAACCUCAGCAAUUGACGUUACCCGCAGAAGAAGCACCGGCUAACUCCGUGCCAGCAGCCGCGGUAA